CAUUCCAUCUUCUAGGGAACCUUAGCUAACUGUUUGGUGGUUUCAUGUGUUUGAAACUACAUGGUUUCUAAAUUUGCAUGACAGACUUUAAGAAAAGUCAUGUUGAAGAAAAAGGACUGAGGACUGACUGUGACUGACAGUCAACAAGCUACCUGUUGGGCGUUGGCUGCUUCCCUUGAAUCUCCCUUUUUACUUCCUUAAGCUUGAUUUGAGGGUAAAUCCUUCGCUACUUAUCGUGGACUUCAUCCAUUGGGGAUGCUAUAAUUCAAGAGAAUGCUGUCAUUCAAGACUGAUAAAUUGUGUAGUUGUUAGAUAAAACAAGUGCAGUCAGUUAAGGCAGUGUCUCCUCCUGUCUUGAUUGACUGUAUGUGCGAGUUUCAAAAGCAGUUUAUCACCCAAAUGAGACAAAAGGAGUAUGUCGGUUUUAUUUGGGUAUAAAUUGCUUUAAAAUUUGCACAGAAAAACAUUUGGGUUGUACCGGAGGCUUUGUUUAUUAA